GAUGAACGCUGGCGGUGUGCCUAAUACAUGCAAGUCGUACGCAUUCUCGUUUCUGAUUGACGGUGCUUGCACCUAAUUGACGAGACAUUGGAAUGAGUGGCGGACGGGUGAGAAACACGUGGGUAACCUGCCCCAAAGCGGGGGAUAACAUUUGGAAACAGAUGCUAAUACCGCAUAACCACAGAAACCACAUGGUUUCUGUGUCAAAGAUGGUUUCGGCUAUCAAUUUGGGAUGGACCCGCGGCGUAUUAGCUAGUUGGUAAGGUAAUGGCUUACCAAGGCAAUGAUACGUAGCCGAACUGAGAGGUUGAUCGGCCACAUUGGGACUGAGGCACGGCCCAAACUCCUACGGGAGGCAGCAGUAGGGAAUCUUCCACAAUGGACGAAAGUCUGAUGGAGCAACGCCGCGUGAGUGAAGAAGGUUUUCGGAUCGUAAAACUCUGUUGUCAGAGAAGAACGUGUGCGAGAGUAACUGCUCGUGCAGUGACGGUAUCUGGCCAGAAAGCCACGGCUAACUACGUGCCAGCCGCCGCAGUAA
rnacentral:rRNA from 1 species